GGCAUUUUGAGACUGAUAAAGUCCAAAGAUGAUGGAAGAGUGCCCCCUCACGCCAUGAAGCUCCUGCUCAGCUGUGAACCAAAUUUGAGGAUCUUGGGACUAUA